rnacentral:rRNA from 1 species
GGAUGCGAUCAUACCAGCACUAAUGCACCGGAUCCCAUCAGAACUCCGAAGUUAAGCGUGCUUGGCGAGAGAGUACUAGGAUGGGUGACCCCCUGGAAGUCCUCGUGUUGCAUCCC